CCUACGGGGGGCAGCAGUGAGGAAUAUUGGUCAAUGGACGAGAGUCUGAACCAGCCAAGUAGCGUGAAGGAUGACUGCCCUAUGGGUUGUAAACUUCUUUUAUAUGGGAAUAAAAUGUUCCACGUGUGGGAUUUUGUAUGUACCAUAUGAAUAAGGAUCGGCUAACUCCGUGCCCGCAGCCGCGGUAAUACGGAGGAUCCGAGCGUUAUCCGGAUUUAUUUGGGUUAAAGGGAGCGUAGGUGGGUUGUUAAGUCAGUUGUGAAAGUUUGCGGCUCAACCGUAAAAUUGCAGUUGAGACUGGCAGUCUUGAGUACAGUAGAGGUGGGCGGAAUGCGUGGUGUAGCGGUGAAAUGCUUAGAUAUCACGAAGAACUCCGAUUGCGAAGGCAGCUGACUGGAGUGCAACUGACACUGAGGCUCGAAAGUGUGGGUAUCAAACAGGAUUAGAUACCCGUGUAGUC
rnacentral:rRNA from 1 species